rnacentral:lncRNA from 1 species
AGAGUCUCUUUUCAGGCAGACACUCAACUCUAAUCUUUGUUUCUCUGAUAAUGCAAGAUGCUAAAAAUACUGUUCUAGUUUUCAGAGGUUUCUGCUUGGCUUCUUAGUCUCCUGCCCCAUGCAGCUUUGGAACUCAUUAAACAUCUUGAAGGGAAUAUAGCUGAGUGUGGGGCUCAAUUCUGCAAGUUCUCUUUUCCUUACAGAUUUGGUUCCUCAAUUUCUAAACUCAUCCCUCUGUCCACAUAAGGGGUCCCCAGCAUGACCAAUUUUCCUGUUUCAUCAUAGCAGCCCUAUACCCAGAUUUUUAUUGUCAUGUCAUACUGAGGAGCAACAGUGUACAGUGGGGAAAAACCAAAUGCCAAGUGUGGUUCCACACCUUGGAGCAAUUCCCCUUUAUCUUCCUCACUCACUUCACAUCUAUCCCUUUAGGAGAGCCCUGGCCUUAGCUCUCAUCUUAGAAUAAUUCCCCUCAGCUUUCAUCAAAACUGCCUUCCUUUUAUCAUUUAGCGCUUCACCUAAACGUCACCCCUUAACAAGUUUUUCUCUGACUACCAAAUCUAAGAUAUUCAUUGGUCCCUUCUCCCUAGCACAUCAUUCCAUCUUAUUACAUCACAGCACUCACCAUAGCAUUACAUCAUUGUUGUCAUGUUUAUAUGUUGUCUGUCUGUCUUUCCUCAAUAGAAGGUAAGAUAUAUGAGAACAGAGGUUUUGUUAGUCACAUUUCAAGCUAUGAUGUAGCAUGCUAAGCUAUCACCAUAGUGCUUGCACAUAGUGGGCCCUCCACUGACAUUAGCUGCAUCAACAUUUGAAUGAAUGAAUGAAUGACUGCAUUUGCAACACGGAGGCUCUGAGAUCCUAUCUGUAUUCAUUUGAAUUUAAUUACAUUUGUACAAUUAUUAAAAAUUGAUAGUUACAAAUGUUGGUAAGGGGGCGGAGAACUGGAACUUCAGCACACUGCUGGUGGGUGUGUAAUUUGGAACAAGGACAAUGGUAAACUGGAAAUAUAUGCUAAAUCCAAAAGCAGAACAGAAUCCUGUAUAGCAAUAUGAAGGAACUGACUGCUGCUACAUACAGCAACAUGGGUAGCUCUUACAGAUGUUAUGUUGAGUGAAAGAAAACAGACCCAAAGAACACAUAAUGUAUAAUAACAUUUAUGUGAAAUCAAGGAAGAGGCAAAAGCAAUUGAUGGUAGAGUUCCCCUGGUUGUGCAGCAGGUUAAUGUUACAGCACUGUCACUGCUGUGGCUUGGGUUGCUGAUGUGGCACAGGUUUGGUCCCUAAGAACCUGACUAGUAUCCAUGAGAAUGCGGGUUCCAUCCCUGGCCUCGCUCACUGGGUCAAGGAUCUGGUGUUGCCACAAGCUGUGGCAAAGGUCAUAGAUGUGGCUCAGAUCCUGCAUUGCUUUGGCUGUGCUGUAGGCUGAUAAUUGUAGCUCUGAUUAGACCCCUUGCCCUGGAACUUCCAUAUGCCACAGAUGCA